rnacentral:misc_RNA from 1 species
CCAUGGUUUGAUGCUCUGAUUGUAUUUUACUUCUAACAAAAUUUGAGAAAGAAAAUUUGUGGAGGAAAAUAGUGAAAGAAAAUCAACUGAUAAAAGAAUCUAGGAUUUUUUUUUUUUUAAUAAGGAAUUUCGACAAGCUCAAGAACAGGGUUUUGGUACAAUCCAGAAUUUCAAUAACUUCAAGAAACAGGGACCCAAAACCAGAAAUAGAGAAAUGGAACCCUUAGAAUGAACUGAGAAUGGAAUUAAUUGAGAAAAGAGAUAGAAAGAGAGAAAGAAAGAGAGAAAAGAAUCAAAAAAUACUGAAAAGAGUAGGAUAGUUUGCAGAGAAGGUG